rnacentral:rRNA from 1 species
UACGUAGGGUGCGAGCGUUGUCCGGAAUUAUUGGGCGUAAAGAGCUCGUAGGCGGCUUGUUGCGUCAGCUGUGAAAACCCGCAGCUCAACUGUGGGCUUGCAGCUGAUACGGGCAGGCUUGAGUUCGGUAGGGGAGACUGGAAUUCCUGGUGUAGCGGUGAAAUGCGCAGAUAUCAGGAAGAACACCCGUGGCGAAGGCGGUUCUCUGGGACGGUACUGACGCUGAGACGCGAAAGCGUGGGGAGCGAACAGG